rnacentral:rRNA from 1 species
UGCGUAGGUGGUGAAGUAAGUCGGAUGUGAAAUCUCGGAGCUUAACUCCGAAACUGCAUUGGAAACUACUUUGCUCGAGGGUUGGAGGGGGGGACGUGGAAUUCUCGGUGUAGCAGUGAAAUGCGUAGAUAUCGAGAGGAACACCAGUGGCGAAGGCGAGUCCCUGGACAACUCCUGACACUGAGGCACGAAAGCUAGGGGAGCAAACA